UGCUGACCGCUGACCUGGAGCUGUCCCUCCCAGGUACUUUCCUGAGGCUCAGCCACGGGCUCUUAUUUUUAGCUGCGGCACCAACAAUGUGCUGGUUUUUACGGCAAAUGAGGAAAUGAUAGUUUGACUCCUGCUUCCUUGCCGUCACCACUACCUGGCCCUGCCCUUAAGCAGAACUGAGGGGGAUGUCCAGCUCUGUGUCCUGAUGGCCCAGCGGGACAAGGUCCUGUCAGGAUCCGGAAUUGUCCAGCUGUGUCCUAGCAUCCCUCCUCGCCCCUGCCACCUCCCAGCAAAGGCGUCCACCACAGGCACAGCACGGUCUGACCCAGCGAGAAGGAGAACAUGCCCAGGCUGGCCAGCCUCAGCACCACACACCUGCGGAGGAGUGUGUCAGGGUGGUACCUGCACCCGGCUGGGCCCCAUCCCCCUAGCCUGCAGCCCAGUAUCCUCCCAGCCGGCUCCAGUCACAGUACCUUCCCAAAGGACUGCCCGAGAACCGAGUUUCCAGACCGGUAAUGAGACAAGGGUUCUGCUUUGAAACCAGUUUAGGAAACCAUGUCUGGCUGUCCUUCCCCAAUGCAGCUUCUGAACCUUUUUCAAGGUCUUUUUCAUCCUGGUGCUGGGGCUGCAAUCCGGAGCCGCCCACCUGCUCUUUCCAACCCAGCACUGCUGCCCCACUCUCUCCCGCUGCCUGUCCCAGUCCUCGCUCUCUGACAGUGUCUCUAGGUAAAGGUGUGAGCGUGUGUGCUCACUGAAAGACAUGCCAGAGUCCUGUGCAGAGCUGAUGGCCGGAAACCAUUGCACAAACAUUAGCUGCAAGGGUGGACACUUCCGGUGCCCUUGUGAGCUGGGAAGCCUGGGAGCGGUGGUUCUGCUGAGGGAGGGUGGGAAGCAGGGGCUUAUUUUUAACCUUUCACCCUUUUAGUAAUAGGGAAAGAUUAAUAUGAUCUGAGGAGAAACUUUCAUCCUUUUAAGCAUCUUGAUUUUUUCCUUUUUUAAAAACCAUGUGUGCAUUUAUAAUAUAUUCAAAAAGUAAAGUUCCAA